ensembl:lncRNA
AGUAGUUGUAGAUGCAGUUGUUUCUACUGUUGUUGGUUCUGUGCUUGUUGUAGCCUGUGUAGUUGAUUCUGUGGUAGUAGUUAGUUCUGUUGUUGCUGCUGUAGAUGAUGUUGUACUUGAAGCUGUAGUUGUUUCCUCUGUAGUUGUUGCUUCCUCAGUUGGAGCUGGAGUAGUUGUAGAUGCAGUUGUUCCUACUGUUGGUUCUGUGCUUGUUGUAGCCUGUGUAGUUGAUUCUGUGGUAGUAGUUAGUUCUGUUGUUGCUGCUGUAGAUGAUGUUGUACUUGAAGCUGUAGUUGUUUCCUCUGUAGUUGUUGCUUCCUCAGUUGGAGCUGGAGUAGUUGUCGAUGCAGUUGUUCCUACUGUUGUUGGUUCUGCACUUGUAACCUUUGUAGUUAAUAGUUCUGUAGUUGGUAUUGUUGUCAGUACAGUUGUAGCUGUGGUUGUUUCCUCUGUUGUUGUUGCUUCCUCAGUUGUAGUUGUUGGAGCUGGAGUAGUUGUAGAUGCAGUUGUUUCUACUGUUGUUGGUUCUGUACUUGUUGUAGCCUGUGUAGUUGAUUCUGUGGUAGUGGUUAGUUCUGUUGUUGCUGCGGUAUUUAAUGUUGUACUUGGAGCUGUAGUUGUUGCUUCCUCAGUUGGAGUAGUUGGACCUGGAGUAGUUGUAGAUGCGGUUGUUCCUUCUGUUGUUGGUUCUCCACUUGUUGUAACCUGUGUAGUUGAUAGUUCUGUAGUUGUUAUUGUUGUCAGUACAGUUGUACUUGUAGUUUCCUCUGUAGUACUUGGUUCCUGAGUUGUAGUGGUUGGGGCUACAGUUGUUGUAGAUGCUGUUGUUGGUACUGUUGAUGGUUCUGUGCUUGUUGUAGCCUGUGUAGUUGAUUCUGUGGUAGUGGUUAGUUCUGUUGUUGCUGCUGUAGUUAAUGUUGUACUUAGAGCUGUAGUUGUUUCCUCUGUAGUUGUUGCUUCCUCAGUUGGAGUAGUUGGAGCUGGAGUAGUUGUAGAUGCAGUUGUUCCUACUGUUGUUGGUUCUGUGCUUGUUGUAGCCUGUGUAGUUGAUUCUGUGGUAGUAGUUAGUUCUUUUGUUGCUGCUGUAGAUGAUGAUGUACUUGGAGCUGUAGUUGUUUCCUCUGUAGUUGUUGCUUCCUCAGUUGGAGCUGGAGUAGUUGUAGAUGCAGUUGUUCCUACUGUUGGUUCUGUGCUUGUUGUAGCCUGUGCAGUUGAUUCUGUGGUAGUAGUUAGUUCUGUUGUUGCUGCUGUAGAUGAUGUUGUACUUGAAGCUGUAGUUGUUUCCUCUGUAGUUGUUGCUUCCUCAGUUGGAGCUGGAGUAGUUCUCGAUGCAGUUGUUCCUACUGUUGUUGGUUCUGCACUUGUAACCUUUGUAGUUAAUAGUUCUGUAGUUGGUAUUGUUGUCAGUACAGUUGUAGCUGUGGUUGUUUCCUCUGUUGUUGUUGCUUCCUCAGUUGUAGUUGUUGGAGCUGGAGUAGUUGUAGAUGCAGUUGUUUCUACUGUUGUUGGUUCUGUGCUUGUUGUAGCCUGUGUAGUUGAUUCUGUGGUAGUGGUUAGUUCUGUUGUUGCUGCUGUAGUUAAUGUUGUACUUGGAGCUGUAGUUGUUGCUUCCUCAGUUGGAGCUGGAGUAGUUGUAGAUGCAGUUGUUGCU